UACAGGGGGGGCAAGCGUUGUUCGGAAUUACUGGGCGUAAAGGGUUCGUAGGUGGCCAACUAAGUCAGACGUGAAAUCCCUCAGCUUAACUGGGGAACUGCGUCUGAUACUGGUUGGCUUGAGUGCAGGAGAGGAACGCGGAAUUCCAGGUGUAGCGGUGAAAUGCGUAGAUAUCUGGAGGAACACCGGUGGCGAAGGCGGCGUUCUGGACUGCAACUGACACUGAGGAACGAAAGCCAGGGGAGCAAACGUG
rnacentral:rRNA from 1 species